CCCGGGCUCAACCUGGGAACUGCAUUCGAAACUGGCAGGCUUGAGUCUUGUAGAGGGGGGUAGAAUUCCAGGUGUAGCGGUGAAAUGCGUAGAGAUCUGGAGGAAUACCGGUGGCGAAGGCGGCCCCCUGGACAAAGACUGACGCUCAGGUGCGAAAGCGUGGGGAGCAAACAGGAUUAGAUACCCUGGUAGUCCACGCCGUAAACGAUGUCUACUUGGAGGUUGUGCCCUUGAGGCGUGGCUUCCGGAGCUAACGCGUUAAGUAGACCGCCUGGGGAGUACGGCCGCAAGGUUAAAACUCAAAUGAAUUGACGGGGGCCCGCACAAGCGGUGGAGCAUGUGGUUUAAUUCGAUGCAACGCGAAGAACCUUACCUGGUCUUGACAUCCACAGAACUUUCCAGAGAUGGAUUGGUGCCUUCGGGAACUGUGAGACAGGUGCUGCAUGGCUGUCGUCAGCUCGUGUUGUGAAAUGUUGGGUUAAGUCCCGCAACGAGCGCAACCCUUAUCCUUUGUUGCCAGCGAUUAGG
rnacentral:rRNA from 2 species